rnacentral:rRNA from 1 species
UACGUAGGGUGCGAGCGUUGUCCGGAAUUAUUGGGCGUAAAGAGCUCGUAGGCGGCUUGUCGCGUCGGAUGUGAAAGCCCGGGGCUUAACUCCGGGUCUGCAUUCGAUACGGGCAGGCUAGAGUGUGGUAGGGGAGAUCGGAAUUCCUGGUGUAGCGGUGAAAUGCGCAGAUAUCAGGAGGAACACCGGUGGCGAAGGCGGGUAGCUGGGCCGACACUGACGCUGAGGCGCGAAAGCCAGGGGAGCGAACGGG